GGCGGGGUGCCGGAGCGGUCGAACGGGGCGGUCUUGAAAACCGCUGAGGGUUCACGCCCUCCGUGAGUUCGAAUCUCACCCCCGCCG
rnacentral:tRNA from 1 species